rnacentral:lncRNA from 1 species
GGGUGCCUCAAGGGUGCUCUAUGGGUGCCCCAAGGAUGCCCUAUGGGUGCCCCACGGGUGCCCCAUGGAGGCUACUUGGGUGCCCCAUGGAGGCUACUUGGGUGCCCCAUUGGGUGCUCCAAGGAUGCCCUAUGGGUGCCCCACGGGUGCCCCAUGGACGCUUUUGGGUGCCCCAUUGGAUGCCUCAAGGGUGCCCCAUGGGUGCCCCAUGGAGGCUUCUUGGGUGCCCCAUUGGAUGCCCCAUUGGAUGCCCCAUGGGUGCCCCACGGGUGUCCCAUGGACGUUUCUUGGGUGCCCCAUUGGGUGCCCCUAGGAUGCCCCAUGGGUGCCCCAUUGGAUGCCUCAAGGGUGUGCUUAGGAUGCCCCACAGGUGCCCCACGGAUGCCCCAUAGAUGCCCCACGGAUGCUUCUUGGAUGCCCUAUGGAUGCCUCUUGGUUGCCCCAUGGAUGUUAUUUGGUUGCCCCAUGGAUUCAUCUCGGUUGCCCCAUGGAUGUUAUUUGGUUGCCCCAUGGAUGUUAUUUGGUUGCCCCAUGGAUGCCUCAUGGGCAGAUGUUCAUCGGGCGCCCCACGGAUUCUUCUGGAUUGCUCCAUGGAUGCUUCUCGGAUGCCCCAUAGCUGCCCCAUAG